rnacentral:piRNA from 1 species
UUGCGAGAUGGCGCUUAAGGAAGAG